UGCCGGCGUCGACGUCGCUGCGCAACGACACCUGUGGCUAUGCGAAAAAGUCGACGAAAAAUGGGGGGCCUAUGCAGUAAUUCUCUCUCUCGCCCGAAAAAGGUGUGACGUAGAAACCAAAACACACAAAAGAAAAACAAAAAGAAUAAACGGAAAAAGGCUUGGAAGCAGCAGCUGAAAGUGUAACUAAAGUACACACAUAAAAUUGUAUACCAAUAAACACACA